rnacentral:ncRNA from 1 species
CUCUUGUUGUCAUGGCUCCAGCCCGUCGCGGGUUUUGACUCCCUGAACCUCACUGCGCCUUACCAGUUGCUCCAACCGCGACCCCAGGUCAGUUGAGAUUACCCAUUGAGUUUAAGUAUAUCAAUAAGUGGAGGAAAAGAAUCUUAGAAGGAUUCCCCUAGUAACGGCUAGCGAACCGGGAACAACCCAACCAUAGAAUCGAGCAGCUCCGUCGUCUGAAUUGUAGCCUAGAGAAGCAUCCUCAGCGGCGGACCAGGCCUAAGUCCCCUAGAAGGGGGCGCCGAAGAGGGUGAGAGCCUUGUCGUGCCCGGACCCUGUCGCACCACGAUGCGCUGUCUACGAGCCGGAUUGUUUGGGAAUGCUGCCCAAAUUGGGCGGUGAAUUCUGUCCAAGGCUAAAUACUGGCGAGAGACCGAUAAUGAACAAGUAUCGUGAGGGAAAGAUUAAAAGGACUUUGAAAAGAGAGUCAAAGAGUUCUUGAAAUUGUCGGGAAGGAAGCGGAUGGGAGCUGUCUAUGCACCCCGAUCGGAUGUGGAACGGUGACGAUUCGGUCCGCCGAUCGACUCGGGGCAUGGACCAGUGUGGAUUUGGGGGGGCCAAAGCCCGGGCUCUCGAUACACCCGUGGAACACCGUCUCCCUGAUUGUGGAAGGCAGCGCGCAUCUCCGGCGUGCUUUGGCAUCUGUGCGCUCCAAAAACUGGCCUGUGGGCUCCCUAUUCAACCCGUCUUGAAACACGGACCAAGAGGUCUGACAUGUGUGCGAGUCAACGGGCGAGUAAAACCAUAAGGCGUAAGGAAGCUGAUUGGUGGGAUCCCCCUGAGGGGUGCACCGCCAAUCGAACUUGAUCUUCUGAGAAGGGUUCGAGUGUGAGCAUGCCUGUCGGGACCCAAAUAAUGGUGAACUAUGCCUGAGCGGGGCAUAUCCAGAGGAAACUAUGGUGGAGGCCCGCAGCGAUACUGAUGUGCAAAUCAUUUGUCUUACUUGGGUAUAGGGGAGAAAGACUAAUCAAACCGUCUAGUAGCUGGUUCCCUCAGAAGUUUCCCUUAGGAUAGCUUGAUCUUGGGGGAGCAACGACCUCAACCUAUUCUCAAACAUUAAAUAGGUAGGAUGGUGCGACUACUUUGUUGAGCCGCGCCACGGAAUCAAGAGCUCCAAGUGGGCCGUUUUUGGUAAGCAGAACUGGCGAUGUGGGAUGAUCCGGAAGCCGAGUUACAGUGCCAAACUUUGCGCUAACCUACAUCCCACAAAUGGUGUUGGUCGAUUAACACAGCAGGACGAUGGUCAUGGAAGUCGAAAUCCGCUAAAAAUGGUGUAACAACUCACAUGCCGAAUCAACUAGCCCCGAAAAAUGGAUGGCGCUUAGGCGCGCGACCUACACCCGACCGACGGAGCAAGUGCAAGGCCCCGAUGAGUAGGAGGGCGCGGUGGGUCGGCAAUCGUCGGGCUUGGCAUGCCAUCAUAGCCCUUGGACAGCACAUACGGUUGGACGACGUC